UAGGCCUUGAAAUACAUCCACAUGUAUACCUCCAAUUGACUCAAAUGAUGUCAAUUAGCCUAUCAGAAGCUUCUAAAGCCAUGACUUAAUUUUCUGGAAUUUUCCAAGCUGUUUAAGGGCGCAGUCAAGGGGCUGGUGAUGCUUUAUUGGGUCUCUGACCGCAUUUAUCUUUCUGUUUUGGCUACUUACAGUAGGCCCAAAAAACAAUUGGGAGUAUAGGGUUGGACUGUUUUGUCAUGAUAGGACAAUAAAUCAAUAAACUAUAUUAAUUUAUUAAAUGUAUAUCCCAUAUCUGCACAAAAUUGAAAGUCAUCUCACAAUCCCUGCUCGCAGACAAACAUGGGCUCUGGGAUUUGCAUCCACUUUUUUUUUUUCACUCAAAGCCACAUUUUUUCCAAACACAAGAACACACCACCUUCCAUCACUAUUCAACCGCACAUACCCACAUACUGUGUCUUCUGUUUGCUGUGUUUUUAUCCCUACAAUUAGUAAUUUUGUGUUCCAGUUUAGGAUGUAUUAUUUUGUUACCCUUCUGAUGCUGUCUUAUCUAAUUAUAAAAUACUAUAAAUAGAAAGUGGAAUGCUAAUUAUUUUACAGCAUUCUCUAUCUUGUGGUGGAGUUGUGGUUUAUUUAUUUUUCAAUUGUUGUAUUUUAUUUUGAUAUUACAAUCCCUAACGUGGGUGUUCCAUUUUUUGACUUCUCUAUGGGAACGUAGUCAUAUUUAGAAUAGCUAUGGAGUAGUCUUGGUGUCUCGGAACAUUUAGUUAUCAAUAAUCCGUUUUAUAGGAGAGCUGCAAGUUUUUUUGUGUUUAAAAAAAAAUCUAUUCUCUUUGCGCUAUUCUGCAAUUUCCUUCUGGUACGGAUCAUUCGUGCCUAUUUUCGUGCUAGCGAGUCUUUCACCCAGGCUUUUAACCAUUUUAUCUUUGAAGAAUGCAAAUUUGCCAACAAUUGGUCGCUCAUCCUCUGUCCAAACGGUGUACAUGUUCGAGUUGGAUUUUAUCGACAGCAUCGCCUGGGAUCUGUAGCGCUGUCAGAAUGAUUUCACCACAAUUUCAGGAUCUUCGCUCUCAGUUUGUUUGAUACCAGAUUCUCUGAUAGAUCUAGUCUGUAUGUCAAGUAAGGCUUCUCGCAGAAACAUUUUCUCCUUUUUAAGUUAACCUCCAUUUCAAUCUUAUUGACUAACGUUUUAGCUUGUUUGUUUCUCCGUUGUCGCAGCUUUUUUGUCACUCAUCGCGAGUCUUGCCUUCAACUCCAUUUUUAUAUCUUUACGGACUCAUUCAAGUAUGUCAAGUUGAUCAUUUAUCGACUUUAACAGAUUGGUUUCCACCCUUGCCAUUCCCGGUGAUGAAAAUCAUAAAACGUCUGUCCGUCAGACACGUUUUCGUUUGGGGUUGGGUUCUCUGUUUGGAUGUUUUGUUUUUGGUAAUAUUGGUUUAUAAAUGUCUCUAGCGUAAUUUUAUUUUGUGGUGUUUUCCAGAUUGAAGGUUAUUACCCAUGAGUAUAUGGAGUUGAAGUGCUAAAAUUUAGUCAGACUUUUUACAUUUUUUAUCUUGAAGCGAUCUGCACCUCUGUUCAGUCCGCCAUUUUACCUGGCCCAGACUACCUGAUUUACAGUCCUUCAUUUCUGUCUUUUAUCAAAUAAAAUAAACCUGUUUUCACUGUCAUUAUGGGGUAUUGUGUAUAGAUUGAGUAUUUUUAUUUUAUUCAAUCCAAUUUAGAAUAAGGCUGUAACGAAAGAAAAUAUGGAAAAAAGGAAGGGCUCGGAAUACUUUCGAUUGCGCUGUAUACAUUUAAGUCAGGUUAUUGAUUUAUAGACUUAAGUUGGGUUUCUUGUCAAUAUUCUUAGACAAUUAAACUAAGCUCUAUUUGCACAGGAGUAGUAAUUCUAUUGAACGUUGGUUAUGAAAUUCAGACUGAAUUAGUUUUUCCAAACUGCCUCCUGUAAUUCAUUAUUUAAAAAAAAAAAAAAAAAUUAAUUGGCAGUUAUGACUGAAGCCUGGAUGUUUUGAGUCCAGGCGAAAAGCCGAAAACAGGGCUACACUGAAAAUACGAGCUUGGUUCCCAAGUUUCUAAACCAUACCAAACCAUCUUAGGUACAGUGUCGCGAUAAUAUUUGAAUUGAGGAAGUGUGAUCAUAAACAUUAUGAUAUUGUAGCGAUCCGCAAUUGAACCCCCCCCCCCCCCCCCAGCCUUCAGAUGUGAGCUAAACAGUGCACUUGAGAUGCUUUUUAAGGCUAUCGAUGCAAAAGUGAACUUUAUCAUUUCCAAACGUUUAGGUCAGUUGUAUGCUGCUUUGCUAUCAAUCAAGGGCGCAAUAUUUAACUGAUGCAUUUGGCAAUAUUCAAUUUAUUUACACAAAACAUAUGAACAAAAGUAUUCACUGUUGAAGUUGAUCCAUGUAGGCCCUUCAUAUAUAGCCUAUGCGCAGCACUUCGUUCAAUUUAUCUAAUCAGUUCUUGUUUUCGCGCCUGAAAUGUCAGCAACACCUGUCAAACAGACAUUUCUCUCAACACUGGGAUGUCGAUUCGCAGGGGACUACUAUUAUCAGAGGACCUUGGAGUUGGUUAUUCUGUCUGGAAUUGUUACUCUUGCCAUGUACAAAUUACUGACGUUUUGUGCUUGUGCACAUAUUUACAUUACACGACCACCCCCAGUAAAACUAAUCCUAGGCCUAGUUCUAUGUGUAAUCAGGUGUGUUCUUAGUCAAGGUUGAUGGGAGCACUCCAAACGAAAGACAAUUUAAUAAAUUGACAACUCAUAAAUGGAAUGAAAUAAACCAAAACUUGUUUCUCACAAAUGUAGCCUAGGUUGUACGCUCUGUAAACAUGUCCACUCCUACAUUGACAAUGGUAAGAUUGUCAUAAUAUGAUUUGAAUGCAUUAACAGAAAUAACCUUAACCAAACAGACAUUUUAGAUUAGAAUUUAUGGUAAAUGUACUGCUGGUGAUACGGUCAUCCCUACGGCGGCCACAAUGGAGGAGUCUACUGAGACAGGUGUGAAUCAGGCAGGUGUCUUGUGUGGCGUAAAAUAUAUAUUUUCCACUGCUCAACUGAACUCUUGAUCGACCAAAUGGGGUCAGUCCUAAAUGAAAGUCAUCCGUUCUCGGAUGAAUAACAAUGAAAAUAAUUGUCUGUCAAAUGAAAAGCACAACGUGUCUGCUUUUUAUUUAAAAAAAAGUGGAGUUGGGUAAGGGUACAGACACAUGAACACUGAAAUUGUAAAUGACUUACAAAAGUACAGUUCAAAUCAACUGUUUUCAGACUAGUUCAUUGGAAAGUUGUGUUCAGUUAUUCAUUUUUUGGGCAGACAAUCAUCUCCGUUGUCAUUCAUUUGGGAACGGACGACUCUCAUUGAAAAAGCAUUGGCUCCAUCCAAAAUACUCGACACAAAAUUCCAAUACAUUUGACUUGACAAUGAUGUAGUACAUCAUAUAUGAUUUUAAUCCGUGUUCAUGUGUCUGUGUGGCCGUACUCUUUUAGAGGUAAACCAAUAAAAAUCUGGAUUCUCAGAUCAUUUGGGAAAAAAAUUGCUAACUGGUAUGUCCUGCAGGACUAUACAUCCAUUUAGUCUGGCAGUCAGGACAUGGAGCAAGUGUUUUGAUGUCACAUUGCUAAUGGCUGUAAGUUGUAUUGAAGUCUCAUUUCAGGUAAUUUAAUCUAACUUUUUGACUUUGACUAAAAUUUAUUCCAGAGCUACGUAAUCGUGACGGGAUGGAUUUGUAAAGGAAGACACACAAAUGGAAUGGAUUGCACUGAUAAAUGGAAUAAGCCUCCAUUGUAAUGAUGUCGGUGAAUGGACUCUACAAGGUGUCAAGCGUUUCACAGGGAUGCUGGCCCAUGUUAACUCCAAUGCGUCCCACAGUUGUCAGGUUGGCUGAAUGUCCUUUGGCUGGUGGACCGUUGUUGAUGCACAUGGGAAAGUGUUGAGCGUGAAAAACACAGCAUUUUGGCAUAACGGUGCACCUGGCACCAACUCUCACACCCUUUUAAAAAGCUCUUGAAUCCUUUUUCAUGCCCAUUCACCCUCACAUACAAUCCAUGUCUCAAGGCUUAAACAUCCUUCUUUAACCAGUCUUCUCCCCUCCAUCUACACUGAUUUUAAAGUGGAUUAAAUAAGGGACCAUAGCUUUCACCUGGUCACUCUGUCAUGGAAAGAGCAGGUGCCCUUAAUGUUUUGUACAUUCAGUGUAUAUUGCCGGUUUUCCAGACCCAGAUAAAGCUUAUUCCUGGAAUAAGUGAUUUCCGUGGAGAAUUUACAUUGCGAGUGCUUGUUAGUCCAGGACUAGGCUUAAUGAGGGGGCGGCAGGUAGCCUAGUGGUUAGAGCUAGAUCGAAUUCCUGAGGUGACAAGGUAAAGAUCUGUCAUUCUGCUCCUGAGCAAGGCAGUUAACCCACUGUUCCUAGGCCAUCAUUGUAAAUCAAAAUUUGUUCUUAACUGACUUGCCUAGUUAAAUAAAGGUAAAAUAAAUAAAUAUUAAACAAAUAAAUGAGUCUCCGAAACCGUCCCAUAAGUGUUUUCUAGUAGUUAAAUGGAGGUUCAGCUCCAUGGACAACAUCUAACCAGUUUGGACUAUUGAUUACCCCCAAACUGGAUCACCAGUGGUUAUUAGCAAGAUGUGGUGAUUGUGACAAGUACAGUGUGAAUAUACUGGUCCCGUUCCAGGCUGAUUUUAUUUUUCAGUCUUGCUGCAUGAAGCAACCUAAGGUUGCAUGCAACGUUGUGAAUGUACACAGUCAGGCAUGAGGUUGAUAUAUGUGGUUAGCUAAUAUAUAAACCCUUAUCCAGGCGUUGUGAUUUCUGGAAGGAGAUUGCAAUGUAGGGGAUGAUUUACCUCUUGGAACUAAAACUAAAAUAAGUGGAGAAUUUCAGGGUCUAUAAAUUAUGCACGUUUGAAUAGUCUGGAAUACUGUUGGAGGAAUGCACCUCUUUCAUGAGGAAAUUGCUGGCAUACUUUUGCUGGCAUACUUACUGUCCCCAAUUUAUGAAGUUUUCUGUUUGUUUUUUUUGUCCACUACCUGUAGGUCAUAGACUACAAUGUAGUGAGGUCUGGUUGAGUUAUGAUCACUCAAUGUGGUCUACAAAAGGAAGCUGGAGAAUGGAGAUGUAAUCAGUGGAUGUUCCCAAAUCGCUCCCUACCCCUUGGCUCUGUAACCCUUCAUCCCUGCAGAAGGUGUAAAGCAAUAUGGUGGAAGCUUUACCAUUGCACUGCUUAUAGCUAACGAGACCGUACAGAUCUGCAAAUAUCAAGUGACUUGACUUGGGGAGCGAUUUUUGGGACCAGCAUGUGUUAGAGCAUCUAGAUUCUCCUACAUGGUAAUGGUGGUCCAGUUCAUGAUUAACCAAUCGUGUAAAUUGGUUAUAUGCUGUCCACAGUUCUGAAUCCUAGUAUUGCAGGUAACAAAUAAUAUAAUCUACACAUGCAUAGGGGGUAGGGGACUAUUUUGAAAUGGGCAUCCAAGAUCCAACAGAGUAGGGCACACCUGAAACCGGCCUGAGGGAUGUAACGGCAGUGUUACAUGAUUACAGUCCUGAGUUCACCUCAGAGGCCUACACUUAAUUAUUUGGGGAAUUUUGGGGUAGCAAGAUCUUGAUUGAGCAAGAGCAUUGUUGUAGAAUAGGAUAUAUUCCUACUGAAUUGUCCAAAUUAAAUCCAUGAAUGUUAAAUAUUUAGAAUGUUGCAAGCAUUGUGUUAUAGUGGGUGUAUUAAUUUCCACAAUAAUGCUGUUUUUAAACCAAUACAGGUAUCUCAAAUGAAGUGUAACCUUUACUCGGCCAUUUUCACUUGUACCUAUGACCCCCUGAAAUGAGGUUGUCACUAAUUGCCACAAAAUCAUAGUGUCCUCAUACUCAACCAAUCAGAUUAAUGAGUGUGAUGCGUAUGCCGACCUACUUGCCGGGGUUGAUAAGACACUCAUUUUAUUUUUUGUCUUGUUCAGUUAAAGUGUGCAAGCUUAGCAUGCUAUAGUUACUUGUCCUAACCCAAAAUAGGUUUACUCCAAUAGCUGCAUUGUUUUAAAAAUUGCAUGAAGAUAAACUGAUAUCUUGAUUUUCAUUUGAAAAAUACCACAGUUUCACUGAAAUUUCAUGUUUUGAAAUUGGCAUAUUUUCAAGAACUUUGAUGCAUUCUGACUUCAAAACAUGAAUAUGAAAUAUGCUUAUUCUUGUUACUGAGGGCGAGGAGAAUGCAGAGUUUGCAUUCUGUCAGAACAUGUUAUUGUUCGAUAUUAGGUAUCCAGUGGAGAGAAGGGCCACAGUCUGGUUUCAGUUGUUUGGUUGUAAUUUGAAAUACUUGCUACACCAGAAGUUAAUGGAUAUGUGUAGGAGGAAUGUAUAUUGUGGAGGUUGGAUAUGGGCCAGGGUCUUGCAAUGUUACUAAGUAAGGGGAAAAGCAAUCACAUGCUUUCGGUUACUGAUAAGGGUUGAUAGCUGUUGAUUAGUGCGUAAUGGGGGCUGAGGUCAGGUCACAUGUAGGGAGAAGUUUAUUACCCAUAUCACUUAACUUCCUGCCUAGCAACAGAUGUAUUGGCUCUCCAGACGUGUGAGGAGACCCGGCAUAGGAGGAAGUUAUAAAUAUAUGUGCUUGUGUAAACAUGUUUUUCUUAUGCAGCUGUGUGACCCAGUGGGUGAAUAAACUUGGUUUGAGCUUUA